rnacentral:rRNA from 1 species
UACGUAGGGGGCAAGCGUUGUCCGGAUUUAUUGGGCGUAAAGAGCUCGUAGGCGGCUUGUCACGUCGGGUGUGAAAGCCCGGGGCUUAACCCCGGGUCUGCAUUCGAUACGGGCUAGCUAGAGUGUGGUAGGGGAGAUCGGAAUUCCUGGUGGUAGCGGUGGAAAUGCGCAGAUAUCAGGAGGAACACCGGUGGCGAAGGCGGAUCUCUGGGCCAUUACUGACGCUGGAGGAGCGAAAGCGUGGGGAGCGAACAGG